rnacentral:lncRNA from 1 species
AAGAUGAGAGAAGAGAUAAAACCCUUGGAGUUCCUUUCUUGAGAUCAUAAAGAUGAUUCAAGAUACUCCUUCCCUUUGGACUUAGCAAUUAACUCAAGCAAUCAAACAAAUAUUCAAUCAAGCUCCUAGGAUCUCCAUUUGGCUUGUCUCUCUUAACUUGGAUGCUCAUGACAAUGGUCCUUCUAACUAUCUCAAGUUUGGAAUCCCUAUCACACAAGAACAAACAAUCAAAAAGUUCACAAUGCAAUAGGAGGAAUGGACAAAGAGAGUUUAGAUUAGGGGUCCUUUCAAGUCAACUUCAAGAUUUAAGCAUUCUAAAGGCAUGAGGCCUAGUUGCUCUUCAAUCAAUUUUAGCAUUCUAAAGGCAUGAGGCCUAGUUGCUCUUGAACUCCAUUAAGCAUAGGUAAGGUCCUAAGUCUAAGUCCUUUCUCCUUUUUGCAUUGGGUCCACAAAAACAAGCACAAAGCAACAAUAUAUUUAUAUAUAAUAAUAAGCUCAAGUGAGUAAAAGGAAAAUGGUAUAAAC